UACGGAGGGUGCAAGCGUUAUCCGGAUUUAUUGGGUUUAAAGGGUGCGUAGGCGGUAAAUUAAGUCAGUGGUGAAAAUCUGCAGCUCAACUGUAGACGUGCCAUUGAAACUGAUUUACUUGAGUAACCAGGAGGUAGGCGGAAUGUGUAGUGUAGCGGUGAAAUGCUUAGAUAUUACACAGAACACCGAUUGCGAAGGCAGCUUACUAUCGGUUCACUGACGCUGAUGCACGAAAGCGUGGGGAUCAAACAGGAUUAGAUACCCUGGUAGUCCACGCCGUAAACGAUGAUAACUCGCUGUUGGCGAUACACAGUCAGCGGCUUAGCGAAAGCGAUAAGUUAUCCACCUGGGGAGUACGCUCGCAAGAGUGAA
rnacentral:rRNA from 1 species